rnacentral:rRNA from 1 species
UACGUAGGGUGCAAGCGUUGUCCGGAAUUAUUGGGCGUAAAGAGCUCGUAGGCGGCUUGUUGCGUCGACUGUGAAAACCUGCGGCUCAACCGUGUGGUCUGCAGUCGAUACGGGCAGGCUGGAGUUCGGUAGGGGAGACUGGAAUUCCUGGUGUAGCGGUGGAAUGCGCAGAUAUCAGGAGGAACACCGGUGGCGAAGGCGGUUCUCUGGGCCUUACCUGACGCUGAGGAGCGAAAGCGUGGGGAGCGAACAGG